AGUGCAUGUGGUGGAUGCCUUGGCAGUCAGAGGCGAUGAAAGACGUGAUAGCCUGCGAAAAGCUCCGGGGAGGCGGCAAAUAUCCUUUGAUCCGGAGAUGUCUGAAUGGGGGAACCCACCUACUUUAAGGUAGGUAUUGCAACAUGAAUACAUAGUGUUGCAAGGCGAACGAGGGGAAGUGAAACAUCUCAGUACCCUUAGGAAAAGAAAUCAAUUGAGAUUCCCUCAGUAGCGGCGAGCGAACGGGGAUCAGCCCAUUAAGUUAUGUGUGUUUUAGUGGAACGCUCUGGGAAGUGCGAACGUAGAGGGUGAUAUUCCCGUACACGAAAGGGCACACAUAAUGAUGACGAGUAGGGCGAGGCACGUGAAACCUUGUCUGAAUAUGGGGGGACCAUCCUCCAAGGCUAAAUACUCCUGACUGACCGAUAGUGAACCAGUACCGUGAGGGAAAGGCGAAAAGAACCCCUGUGAGGGGAGUGAAAUAGAUCCUGAAACCGCAUGCAUACAAGCAGUGGGAGCACCUUCGUGGUGUGACUGCGUACCUUUUGUAUAAUGGGUCAGCGACUUAUAUUCAGUAGCGAGGUUAACCGUAUAGGGGAGCCGUAGAGAAAUCGAGUCUUAAUAGGGCGUUUAGUUGCUGGGUAUAGACCCGAAACCAGGCGAUCUAUCCAUGAGCAGGUUGAAGGUUGGGUAACACUAACUGGAGGACCGAACCCACUGUCGUUGAAAAGCCAGGGGAUGACUUGUGGAUAGGGGUGAAAGGCUAAUCAAGCCUGGUGAUAGCUGGUUCUCCCCGAAAGCUAUUUAGGUAGCGCCUCGGACGAAUACCAUAGGGGGUAGAGCACUGUUUCGGCUAGGGGGUCAUCCCGACUUACCAAACCGAUGCAAACUCCGAAUACCUAUGAGUACUAUCCGGGAGACAGACUGCGGGUGCUAACGUCCGUAGUCAAGAGGAAAACAAUCCAGACCGCCAGCUAAGGCCCCAAAAUCAUAGUUAAGUGGGAAACGAUGUGGGAAGGCAUAGACAGCUAGGAGGUUGGCUUAGAAGCAGCCACCCUUUAAAGAAAGCGUAAUAGCUCACUAGUCGAGUCGGCCUGCGCGGAAGAUGUAACGGGGCUAAAACUAUGUGCCGAAGCUGCGGAUGUAUACUUUGUAUACGUGGUAGGGGAGCGUUCUGUAAGCCGAUGAAGGUGUGUUGAGAAGCAUGCUGGAGGUAUCAGAAGUGCGAAUGCUGACGUGAGUAACGACAAAACGGGUGAAAAACCCGUUCGCCGAAAGACCAAGGGUUCCAGUCCAACGUUAAUCGGGGCUGGGUGAGUCGACCCCUAAGGCGAGGCCGAAAGGCGUAGUCGAUGGGAAAAUGGUUAAUAUUCCAUUACUUCUGUGUAAUGCGAUGAGAGGACGGAGAAGGCUAAAUCAGCCUGGCGUUGGUUGUCCAGGUGAAAGGAUGUAGGCAUGUAUCUUAGGCAAAUCCGGGGUACUCUAUGCUGAGAUCUGAUAGCAAGCUGUACUUGUACAGCGAAGUGGUUGAUGCCAUGCUUCCAGGAAAAGUCUCUAAGCUUCAGUUACACAGGAAUCGUACCCGAAACCGACACAGGUGGUCAGGUCGAGUAGACCAAGGCGCUUGAGAGAACUCUGCUGAAGGAACUAGGCAAAAUGGUACCGUAACUUCGGGAGAAGGUACGCUGUUGUUGGUGAUGGAACUUGCUUCCUGAGCUGACGACAGCCGCAGAAACCAGGCCGCUGCAACUGUUUAUUAAAAACAUAGCACUCUGCAAACACGAAAGUGGACGUAUAGGGUGUGAUGCCUGCCCGGUGCUGGAAGGUUAAUUGAUGGGGUUAGCGUAAGCGAAGCUCUUGAUCGAAGCCCCAGUAAACGGCGGCCGUAACUAUAACGGUCCUAAGGUAGCGAAAUUCCUUGUCGGGUAAGUUCCGACCUGCACGAAUGGCAUAAUGAUGGCGGCGCUGUCUCCAGCAGAGGCUCAGUGAAAUCGAAAUCGCUGUGAAGAUGCAGUGUACCCGCGGCUAGACGGAAAGACCCCGUGAACCUUUACUGCAGCUUGACACUGAACUUUGACCUUACUUGUGUAGGAUAGGUGGGAGGCUUUGAAGCUGGAACGCUAGUUCCAGUGGAGCCGUCCUUGAAAUACCACCCUGGUAAUGUUGAGGUUCUAACUCUGUCCCGUGAUCCGGGACGAGGACCGUGUCUGGUGGGUAGUUUGACUGGGGCGGUCUCCUCCUAAAGAGUAACGGAGGAGUACGAAGGUGCGCUCAGCGUGGUCGGAAAUCACGCGUAGAGUAUAAAGGCAAAAGCGCGCUUAACUGCGAGACCCACAAGUCGAGCAGGUACGAAAGUAGGUCUUAGUGAUCCGGUGGUUCUGUAUGGAAGGGCCAUCGCUCAACGGAUAAAAGGUACUCUGGGGAUAACAGGCUGAUACCGCCCAAGAGUUCAUAUCGACGGCGGUGUUUGGCACCUCGAUGUCGGCUCAUCUCAUCCUGGG
rnacentral:rRNA from 1 species